CGCGGACCAGGCCAGUGGCAUCAGGGAAUAAAGCGGAACGGAAUGGAAAGUCCGGCCUCAGCGGGUGAUAGCCCCGUACGUGUAGAACACCUGAUGUCCUUGAGUAGGGCGGGACACGUGAAAUCCUGUCUGAACAUGGGGCGACCACGCUCCAAGCCUAAGUACUCGUGCAUGACCGAUAGCGAACAAGUACCGUGAGGGAAAGGUGAAAAGCACCCCGACGAGGGGAGUGAAAUAGAACCUGAAACCGGUUGCCUACAAGCAGUCGGAGGCCGCAAGGCUGACGGCGUACCUUUUGUAUAAUGGGUCAACGACUUAGUGUGUCGAGCAAGCUUAAGCCGGUAGGUGUAGGCGCAGCGAAAGCGAGUCUGAACAGGGCGUUCAGUUCGACGCAUUAGACCCGAAACCGAGUGAUCUAGCCAUGAGCAGGUUGAAGGUUGGGUAACACCAACUGGAGGACCGAACCCGCAUCUGUUGCAAUAGAUUGGGAUGACUUGUGGCUAGGGGUGAAAGGCCAAUCAAACUCGGAAAUAGCUGGUUCUCCGCGAAAUCUAUUUAGGUAGAGCGUCGACCGAAUACCCCAGGGGGUAGAGCACUGGAUGGGCUAGGGGUCCUCACCGGAUUACCAAACCUAACCAAACUCCGAAUACCUGGGAGUACUAGUCGGCAGACACACGGCGGGUGCUAACGUCCGUCGUGAAAAGGGAAACAACCCUGACCUACAGCUAAGGUCCCCAAGUUAUGGCUAAGUGGGAAAGGAUGUGAGGAUCCCAAAACAACCAGGAUGUUGGCUUAGAAGCAGCCAUCAUUUAAAGAAAGCGUAACAGCUCACUGGUCUAAAUAAGGGUCUUUGCGCCGAAAAUGUAACGGGGCUAAAGCCAUACACCGAAGCUUAGGGUUCGUGAGCAAUCACGAGCGGUAGCGGAGCGUUCUGUAAGCUGAUGAAGCCGUACCCGUGAGGGGCGGUGGAGGUAUCAGAAGUGCGAAUGCUGACAUGAGUAACGUAAGGGGAGUGAGAGACUCCCCCGCCGAAAGACCAAGGGUUCCUGCUUAAAGUUAAUCUGAGCAGGGUUAGCCGGCCCCUAAGACGAGGCGGAAACGCGUAGUCGAUGGGAACCACGUUAAUAUUCGUGGGCCUGGAGGUAGUGACGGAUCACACAAGUUGUCCAAUCUUAUCGGAUUGAAAGGGCAGCGGAGUGGUUCCAGGAAAUAGCUCCUCCUUAUAGACCGUACCCGAAACCGACACUGGUGGUCAGGUAGAGUAUACCAAGGCGCUUGAGAGAACUAUGCUGAAGGAACUCGGCAAAUUGCACGCGUAACUUCGGAAGAAGCGUGACCCUUUUCUGCGCAAGCAGGGGAGGGUGGCACAGACCAGGGGGUAGCGACUGUUUAUCAAAAACACAGGGCUCUGCGAAGCCGCAAGGCGACGUAUAGGGUCUGACGCCUGCCCGGUGCUGGAAGGUUAAGAGGAGAGGUGCAAGCUUUGAAUCGAAGCCCCAGUAAACGGCGGCCGUAACAAUAACGGUCCUAAGGUAGCGAAAUUCCUUGUCGGGUAAGUUCCGACCUGCACGAAUGGCGUAACG
rnacentral:rRNA from 1 species